UACGUAGGCAGCAAGCGUUGUUCGGAGUUACUGGGCGUAAAGAGUGUGUAGGCGGUCCUCUAAGUUCGGUGUGAAAUCUCCCGGCUCAACUGGGAGGGUGCGCCGGAAACUGGAGGGCUCGAGUAUGGGAGAGGAAAGCGGAAUUCCUGGUGUAGCGGUGAAAUGCGUAGAUAUCAGGAGGAACACCUGUGGUGUAGACAGCUUUCUGGACCAUCACUGACGCUGAGACACGAAAGCGUGGGGAGCAAACAGG
rnacentral:rRNA from 1 species